AGAAUCAACGCUGGCGGCGUGCCUAACACAUGCAAGUCGAACGAGAAAGUGGAGCAAUCCAUGAGUAAAGUGGCGACCGGGUGAGUAACACGUGACUAACCUACCUUCGAGUGGGGGAUAACCUCGGGAAACCGAGGCUAAUACCGCAUAACAUCGCAAGAUCAAAGCAGCAAUGCGCUGGAAGAGGGGGUCGCGGCUGAUUAGCUAGUUGGCGGGGUAACGCCCACCAAGGCGAAGAUCGGUAGCCGGCCUGAGAGGGCGCACGGCCACACUGGAACUGAAACACGGUCCAGACUCCUACGGGAGGCAGCAGUGGGGAAUUUUGCGCAAUGGGGGAAACCCUGACGCAGCAACGCCGCGUGGAGGAUGAAGCCCCUUGGGGCGUAAACUCCUUUCGACCAAGACGAUAAUGACGGUACUGGUGGAAGAAGCACCGGCUAACUCUGUGCCAGCGGCCGC
rnacentral:rRNA from 1 species